rnacentral:tRNA from 1 species
GAGGGUGUAGCUCAAGUGGUAGAGCACAUGCUUAGCAUGCACGAGGUUCUGGGUUCAAUCCCUGGCAUCUCCU